AGUGGCGGACGGGUGAGUAACGCGUAAGAAUCUAACUUCAGGACGGGGACAACAGUUGGAAACGACUGCUAAUACCCGAUGUGCCGCAAGGUGAAACCUAAUUGGCCUGGAGAAGAGCUUGCGUCUGAUUAGCUAGUUGGUGGGGUAAAGGCCUACCAAGGCGACGAUCAGUAGCUGGUCUGAGAGGAUGAGCAGCCACACUGGGACUGAGACACGGCCCAGACUCCUACGGGAGGCAGCAGUGGGGAAUUUUCCGCAAUGGGCGAAAGCCUGACGGAGCAACGCCGCGUGAGGGAGGAAGGUCUUUGGAUUGUAAACCUCUCUUCUCAAGGGAGAAGUUCUGACGGUACUUGAGGAAUCAGCCUCGGCUAACUCCGUGCCAGCAGCCGCGGUAAUACGGGGGAGGCAAGCGUUAUCCGGAAUUAUUGGGCGUAAAGCGUCCGCAGGUGGUCAGCCAAGUCUGCCGUCAAAUCAGGUUGCUUAACGACCUAAAGGCGGUGGAAACUGGCAGACUAGAGAGCAGUAGGGGUAGCAGGAAUUCCCAGUGUAGCGGUGAAAUGCGUAGAGAUUGGGAAGAACAUCGGUGGCGAAAGCGUGCUACUGGGCUGUAUCUGACACUCAGGGACGAAAGCUAGGGGAGCGAAGGGGAUUAGAUACCCCUGUAGUCCUAGCCGUAAACGAUGGAUACUAGGCGUGGCUU
rnacentral:rRNA from 1 species